AGAUGUAGCGAUAAACGGUGAACCAAUGUUUUAAUUAACCUUUUCUUUUCUUUCCUCUCGUUUUCUUUUUGUUUUUAAUUAACCCUCUCUCUUUAAUUUCGUUUUUCAUCACCUCAUCUCCUCCCUCUCCUCACAUCAAGCCGACACCCGACACCAAUCAGCCUGCAUCCCCUUCUCCUUCGCUCCGACCGCCACUGGCGCCGCCUCAUCUUCCGAAGCCACCCCUUUCUGAAGAAUCCGACUCGAGCGGCCUGUUGUCGCCGCCCUUUCUGAAGAAGCCGACCUAUUGCCACUGCCGAUUGGCUCUCCUUCUCCUUUCUCUGCUGCCGACGCCAACAGAAAGGGGAUUUCGCUGCUGCUACCUCUUCUCCGCCGUCCAACCUCUGCUCCGGCCAAAGGAGGCACCGCCAGCCCACCUCCGGACUUCCGCCGCCACUCUUGGCUUCUCUGCUCCGGCCACAGUUCUUCCCCUUGGGAUUGGAAGAGGAAGCCUCGCUCGGUUCACCAUGGAAAUUCAGAUCCAAUCUCAUUUUAUCAACUAAGUUUUCCUUUUUAUUUGAUUGGUCCUUUUUCUCUUACGUAAUAUCACUUUCCUUCUUUUUCCUAAAUCCACUGAAAAAAAAAUCUUUUUUAUCCUUUGUUCUGUUUCGUCUAGUAGCCUUGUUUGACAUUGCUACUCUUUCAAGUCUAUAUAAACAAUGUCAGAAUUUUCAUCUUUAUCAGCCACUAUAGAAAUCAUCUUUAGGGCACAACUAUCUUCCUUAUCUUUGAAUGUCAUACCUUAUUUAUCCAUCAAACUUAAUUACAUGCAUUAGUUCCUUUUCGCUACUUUAUGUUCAUAAUCUACUUGGAGUUAUUGAUGGUACUUCUCUUAAACCACAAGCAGACGAUUCAAACUAUGCUAUAUGGAGUAAGAAGGAUCAAAUGAUUAUGACAUGGUUGAUUUCAAUGAUUACUGAGCCUAUACUUUCUACAAUUGUUGGGCAAUACACUUCAUGUUACGUUCAUCACUAAAAAUUUACUCUCAGUUCGUCAA